rnacentral:rRNA from 1 species
AUUGAACGCUGGCGGCAUGCCUUACACAUGCAAGUCGAACGGUAACAGGCCUUCGGGCGCUGACGAGUGGCGAACGGGUGAGUAAUGCAUCGGAACGUGCUCAGUCGUGGGGGAUAACGCAGCGAAAGCUGUGCUAAUACCGCAUACGAUCUGUGGAUGAAAGCGGGGGACCUUCGGCCCUCGGGCGAUUGGAGCGGCCGAUGUCAGAUUAGGUAGAUGGUGGGGUAAAGGCCCACCGAGCCGGCGAUCUGUAGCUGGUCUGAGAGGACGACCAGCCACACUGGGACUGAGACACGGCCCAGACUCCUACGGGAGGCAGCAGUGGGGAAUUUUGGGCAAUGGGCGCAAGCCUGGUCCAGCAAUGCCGCGUGCAGGAAGAAGGCCUUCGGGUUGUAAACUGCUUUUGUACGGAGCGAAAAGGCUCCCUCUAAUACAGGGGGCUCAUGACGGUACCGUAAGAAUAAGCACCGGCUAACUACGUGCCAGCCGCCGCAGUAA